rnacentral:lncRNA from 1 species
AGGAUUCAUUUCGCAACACCUACGGCUUCCACUAGAUGUCAACGAUCUUUAUAAAGUUGUUUGAAGCGUCUAUGAUAAACAGAGAGCAAAUUAGAAUCCAAGGAAGUUGACAUGUCAUCACUUCAUUUUUUUGCGCCUGCGCAUAAAUCUGAGAAACGUGAGUUUUGUCUUCAUUGUUUAUCUCGACAUAGGAUAGGUUGUGUGAAAAUAUUACUGAUGUUUAACGUUAAAAAUGGACCAAAAGAUUAAUGCUAAACAACAUUUGACAUGUUUGAACGAACAUAAAUAGAUUAUUUACUAGGUUUUUUUAGCUUUUCGGCGUGAUUUUACAGUCCCCCACCACGUUUUGUGGGAGCAUAAUGAACGCUAAGUACUUGGUGUUAUUUGGACAUAAAUGAUGAACUUUGUCAAAAGAAACCACAUUUGUUCCGGACCUGGGAUGCCUUCCGGACCUGGGAUGCCUGUCUUCUGAUGGAGAUAAUCAAAGGCGAAAUCCUAAAUUUGAUCAGACCGACUGAGGAGUCUGACGCUGAUCAUAACCAGCACCCACCAGCGCCAAAGACCCCCAAAUUCACCCCAAAAAUAUCUUCUAGACCCUCUUUGUCACUCUCUGCUGGGGAAUCAUCAAGACCCUGUUCCCGUGCUUCUUCGCUAGAAGAUUUUCUGGCAGUAGUCCAUGGAUUUCUGCAGGCUGAUUAUUCAGCACCUGAGGAAAUUGGCAGAGGAUGUCAGAGAGUUGCAAUACCAGACCACAGUAACAGGAACCUCUUAAUGUAACUGACCAAUGGGUCUCAUGGGGACAUGGUUCUGCCAGAGGACACUGUGCUUCCUCUGAAGGACAUGCCUUGCUGGAGGAGCUUGAACAUCGGCUUGCUGGGAAUGAGGAACUUCAGGAGAAAUUGGUGAGGUUUUUGGCUGCUAAAGGGGGCAAGACCGUCAAAGACUCUGUGAGGAGGAUGUUUGCCUGCCUUUUCUCCAACGACCUGUCCAGGCUUUGUAUCUAGACCGGCUUGGGACAUAAGAUCUCUUUCAGGCAGCUAUCUUUAAAAAGCAUUGUUCACAGAACGAUAAGAAAGAACCUCUCUACAAAAGAGGCAACAGAGGGGAACCUCCAAGAGGUGGUCUGUCACAUCCUGACCAGUAAUAGGGG